rnacentral:rRNA from 1 species
AUGCAAGUCGAACGGUAACAGGAAACAGCUUGCUGUUUCGCUGACGAGUGGCGGACGGGUGAGUAAUGUCUGGGAAACUGCCUGAUGGAGGGGGAUAACUACUGGAAACGGUAGCUAAUACCGCAUAACGUCGCAAGACCAAAGAGGGGGACCUUCGGGCCUCUUGCCAUCAGAUGUGCCCAGAUGGGAUUAGCUAGUAGGUGGGGUAACGGCUCACCUAGGCGACGAUCCCUAGCUGGUCUGAGAGGAUGACCAGCCACACUGGAACUGAGACACGGUCCAGACUCCUACGGGAGGCAGCAGUGGGGAAUAUUGCACAAUGGGCGCAAGCCUGAUGCAGCCAUGCCGCGUGUAUGAAGAAGGCCUUCGGGUUGUAAAGUACUUUCAGCGGGGAGGAAGGGAGUAAAGUUAAUACCUUUGCUCAUUGACGUUACCCGCAGAAGAAGCACCGGCUAACUCCGUGCCAGCAGCCGCGGUAAUACGGAGGGUGCAAGCGUUAAUCGGAAUUACUGGGCGUAAAGCGCACGCAGGCGGAAUGUUAAGUCAGAUGUGAAAUCCCCGGGCUCAACCUGGGAACUGCAUCUGAUACUGGCAAGCUUGAGUC